rnacentral:lncRNA from 1 species
GAACUUGGGGAAGGAAGCUUACUUCACGGAGGCCCUCCCGGAAGAGCUCGGGCAGUGUGGGCUGGCUGUUCCCAGGCAGCACUCCCAGCCACUGGGGCACUGAGUUCUUCAUUCCUUGAAGGGGCAACAUCCAGGCCUUCACCACAGGGACCCAGGCACAGAGGGAUCAAGUAACUGCCCCAAAGCCGUGGGGAUGGCUGGGGGCCUUACUCAGGAUUGGAACUCGCGCUCACUGCCUCCCGGGGAAUCCUUGUGUUUACUCUAGUGCCCGACAACAGAACUUUCGAGCCAGAUACGGGCCUGAGAUACGGGUUGCAUAGCACGCAUCCUGCCUAUUAAUAACUGUAAGUCCUUGUGCAAGCCAUGGCCCCUCCCGGAACCUCAACACUCCAGUUGUCUCAUAGGCAAAUUGUCCUGCCUGCCUUGCUGGGUUCCAAGGUGACCCAAAGAAUUUGCGGCUGUGAAACUACUCUGCAAACCCUCAAAUGCCAUCCACUUGGAAAGUGUGCUUGUGGAGGCCACGAAGCUGUUGACAGCUGCUGUUUGGCAUUGGCUGGGAGGAAGGUCAGAGCGUCCAGUGCUCAUGCAUGUGAACUCUGGGACUUCACAUGCUGGGAACAUCAUUGGGAGACACCAGCUGACCCCCCUUGUCCCCAGGGAGCAAAUGUGCCUGGCUCACUGUCCCCGUGGACGUGAGUGAAGCAUUUACACAACACAAGCAAGGCUUCCAGAGCAUCCUAGAGCAAUGUUAACUUUUUUCAGUGCUCCGUGAAUGUCGUCUUUACACCUGUUAUCUCAUUCAUUUAACCUUCCUA